rnacentral:rRNA from 1 species
UAUAAUAGUAAAAUUUUUAAUCCUGAUUAUUAUUAGUUAAGUUCUUGAAAAUUAAAAAAUUUGGCGGUAUUUUAAUCAGUUCAGAGGAACCUGUCCUAUAAUUGAUAUUCCACGAUAGGCACAAUUUAUUCUUUUAGUUUGUAUAUCGUUGUUUAGAAUUUUUUAUCAGAAUUUAAAUUUUUUAGAUUUAUUAUAAUAAUAAAUUUCAAAUCAAGGUGCAGCUUAUGAAUAAAAAGAGAUGGGUUACAUUAAAAUUAUUUUUGGAUUAUGAUUUUUAAAUUUUAUAUGAAAUUGGAUUUGAUAAUAAUAAUAAGCAUUUACUUAUUAUGAUAUUUGUUCUAAAAUAUGU